GGUACAGGUCUUCGGAUGCUGACGAGUGGCGAACGGGUGAGUAAUACAUCGGAACGUGCCUAGUAGUGGGGGAUAACUACUCGAAAGAGUAGCUAAUACCGCAUGAGAUCUACGGAUGAAAGCAGGGGACCUUCGGGCCUUGUGCUACUAGAGCGGCUGAUGGCAGAUUAGGUAGUUGGUGGGGUAAAGGCUUACCAAGCCUGCGAUCUGUAGCUGGUCUGAGAGGACGACCAGCCACACUGGGACUGAGACACGGCCCAGACUCCUACGGGAGGCAGCAGUGGGGAAUUUUGGACAAUGGGCGAAAGCCUGAUCCAGCAAUGCCGCGUGCAGGAUGAAGGCCCUCGGGUUGUAAACUGCUUUUGUACGGAACGAAAAGCCUGGGGCUAAUAUCCCCGGGUCAUGACGGUACCGUAAGAAUAAGCACCGGCUAACUACGUGCCAGCAGCCGCGGUAAUACGUAGGGUGCAAGCGUUAAUCGGAAUUACUGGGCGUAAAGCGUGCGCAGGCGGUUUUGUAAGACAGUGGUGAAAUCCCCGGGCUCAACCUGGGAACUGCCAUUGUGACUGCAAGGCUAGAGUGCGGCAGAGGGGGAUGGA
rnacentral:rRNA from 1 species